GCAACCUGGCGGCGAGUGGCGAACGGGUGAGUAAUAUAUCGGAACGUACCCAAGAGUGGGGGAUAACGUAGCGAAAGUUACGCUAAUACCGCAUACGAUCUAAGGAUGAAAGCAGGGGAUGCGCUUGCGCACCUUGUGCUCCUGGAGCGGCCGAUAUCUGAUUAGCUAGUUGGUAGGGUAAAGGCCUACCAAGGCAUCGAUCAGUAGCUGGUCUGAGAGGACGACCAGCACACUGGAACUGAGACACGGUCCAGACUCCUACGGGAGGCAGCAGUGGGGAAUUUUGGACAAUGGGCGCAAGCCUGAUCCAGCAAUGCCGCGUGAGUGAAGAAGGCCUUCGGGUUGUAAAGCUCUUUUGUCAGGGAAGAAACGGGUGAGGCUAAUAUCCUCAUCUAAUGACGGUACCUGAAGAAUAAGCACCGGCUAACUACGUGCCAGCAGCCGCGGUAAUACGUAGGGUGCAAGCGUUAAUCGGAAUUACUGGGCGUAAAGCGUGCGCAGGCGGUUUUGUAAGUCUGUCGUGAAAUCCCCGGGCUCAACCUGGGAAUGGCGAUGGAGACUGCAAGGCUAGAAUCUGGCAGAGGGGGGUAGAAUUCCACGUGUAGCAGUGAAAUGCGUAGAGAUGUGGAGGAACACCGAUGGCGAAGGCAGCCCCCUGGGUCAAGAUUGACGCUCAUGCACGAAA
rnacentral:rRNA from 1 species